UUAGAGUUUGAUCAUGGCUCAGAUUGAACGCUGGCGGCAGGCCUAACACAUGCAAGUCGAGCGGUAGAGAGAAGCUUGCUUCUCUUGAGAGCGGCGGACGGGUGAGUAAUGCCUAGGAAUCUGCCUGGUAGUGGGGGAUAACGUUCGGAAACGGACGCUAAUACCGCAUACGUCCUACGGGAGAAAGCAGGGGACCUUCGGGCCUUGCGCUAUCAGAUGAGCCUAGGUCGGAUUAGCUAGUUGGUGGGGUAAUGGCUCACCAAGGCGACGAUCCGUAACUGGUCUGAGAGGAUGAUCAGUCACACUGGAACUGAGACACGGUCCAGACUCCUACGGGAGGCAGCAGUGGGGAAUAUUGGACAAUGGGCGAAAGCCCGAUCCAGCCAUGCCGCGUGUGUGAAGAAGGUCUUCGGAUUGUAAAGCACUUUAAGUUGGGAGGAAGGGCAGUAAAUUAAUACUUUGCUGUUUCGACGUUACCGACAGAAUAAGCACCGGCUAACUCUGUGCCAGCAGCCGCGGUAAUACAGAGGGUGCAAGCGUUAAUCGGAAUUACUGGGCGUAAAGCGCGCGUAGGUGGUUAGUUGAGUUGGAUGUGAAAUCCCCGGGCUCAACCUGGGAACUGCAUUCAAAACUGACUGACUAGAGUAUGGUAGAGGGUGGUGGAAUUUCCUGUGUAGCGGUGAAAUGCGUAGAUAUAGGAAGGAACACCAGUGGCGAAGGCGACCACCUGGACUGAUACUGACACUGAGGUGCGAAAGCGUGGGGAGCAAACAGGAUAGAUACCCUGGUAGUCCACGCCGUAAACGAUGUCAACUAGCCGUUGGGAGCCUUGAGCUCUUAGUGGCGCAGCUAACGCAUCAAGUUGACCGCCUGGGGAGUACGGCCGCAAGGUUAAAACUCAAAUGAAUUGACGGGGGCCCGCACAAGCGGUGGAGCAUGUGGUUUAAUUCGAAGCAACGCGAAAAAACUUACCAGGCCUUGACAUCCAAUGAACUUUCUAGAGAUAGAUUGGUGCCUUCGGGAACAUUGAAACAGGUGCUGCAUGGCUGUCGUCAGCUCGUGUCGUGGGAUGUUGGGUUUAAGUUCCGUAACGAGCGCAACCCUUUGUUCCUUAGUUUACCAAGCACGUCAUGGGUGGGCCACUCUAAAGGAGAAACUGGCCGUGACAAACCGAGGAAGCUUGGGAUGAACGUCAAGUCAUCAUGGCCUUAACGGCUGGGCUCAU
rnacentral:rRNA from 1 species